UAGCUCACUUUGGCAGCAAAUGUACUAAAAUUGGAAUGAUACAGAAAUUAGCAUGGCCCCUGUGCAAGAAUGACAUGCAAAUUUGUAAAGCAUUCCGUAUUUUU
ensembl:snRNA U6 U6 spliceosomal RNA